CUGCACCUUCAGCUGAGGUAUCCAGGUUCUCUAAUUGGGACUGACUAGGUGGUUGGUGCAACCCACUGAGAGUGAGGAAAAGCAGGGCGAAGCAAUGGCUCACUUGGGAGCUGCAUGGCAGUACACUUUAUUUAUUUAUACGCUAAGAAUUUCCUUCAGAACAGGCACAGUGGCUCAUGUCUGUAAUCCCAGCACUUUGGGAGGCUGGGCAGGCAGAUUGCUUGAACCCAGGAGUUUGAGACUAGCCUGGGCAACAUGGUGAAAUU
rnacentral:lncRNA from 1 species